AUUGAACGCUGGCGGAAUGCUUUACACAUGCAAGUCGAGCGGCAGCACGGGGGCAACCCUGGUGGCGGACGGGUGAGUAACACGUGGGAACGUGCCCUUUGGUUCGGAACAACUCAGGGAAACUUGAGCUAAUACCGGAUGUGCCCUUCGGGGGAAAGAUUUAUCGCCAUUGGAGCGGCCCGCGUCUGAUUAGCUAGUUGGUGAGGUAAAGGCUCACCAAGGCGACGGUCAGUAGCUGGUCUGAGAGGAUGAUCAGCCACAUUGGGACUGAGACACGGCCCAAACUCCUACGGGAGGCAGCAGUGGGGAAUCUUGCGCAAUGGGCGAAAGCCUGACGCAGCCAUGCCGCGUGAAUGAUGAAGGUCUUAGGAUUGUAAAAUUCUUUCACCGGGGACGAUAAUGACGGUACCCGGAGAAGAAGCCCCGGCUAACUUCGUGCCAGCCGCCGCAGUAACAC
rnacentral:rRNA from 1 species